rnacentral:misc_RNA from 1 species
UACGUAGGUGGCAAGCGUUGUCCGGAAUUAUUGGGCGUAAAGCGCGCGCAGGUGGUUCUUUAAGUCUGAUGUGAAAGCCCACGGCUCAACCGUGGAGGGUCAUUGGAAACUGGGAGACUUGAGUACAGAAGAGGAGAGUGGAAUUCCAAGUGUAGAGGUGAAAUUCGUAGAUAUUUGGAGGAACACCAGUGGCGAAGGCGACUCUCUGGUCUGUAACUGACGCUGAGGCGCGAAAGCGUGGGGAGCGAACAGG